rnacentral:rRNA from 1 species
UACGUAGGUGGCGAGCGUUGUCCGGAUUCAUUGGGCGUAAAGAGCGUGUAGGCGGCCAGGUAGGUCGGUUGUGAAAACUGGAGGCUCAACCUUCAGAGGUCGACCGAAACCAUCUGGCUAGAGUCCGGGAGAGGAGAGUGGAAUUCCUGGUGUAGCGGUGAAAUGCGCAGAUAUCAGGAAGAACACCCGUGGCGAAAGCGGCUCUCUGGAACGGUACUGACGCUGAGACGCGAAAGCGUGGGGAGCGAACAGG